UAAAAGUUAGCACUUCUGACCAAUGUCAGUUUUGAGUAGCUGAGGACACCGUAGUUUCAUUGUCCUGUUAGUGGAGAUGGGUUUUCAGAGUGUCAUCAUGGCUGGAGAACCAGGUCUGGACACAUGAUCACUCAGGGGCAAGACCAUCUGUUCCUCUUUACCAUGAAGUCAUAGUACUAUAUUUGUGACAGCACAAUCAUUUCCAUGGCAACAGGAUGUGGUCUCAUCACUGAAUCCUGAUUUCACUCUGACAAAGAUCAAGCAGCAGGGGAUUGGGUAACACACUCAUGUAUACAAAAUCAAAAGGCACAAAAGAGCAUAUCAUGAAAAAACACUCACUAUUGGAGCCCUGGGCUACCAUGUAAGAAGUCUGACUACCCUGAGGCCACUAUGAUGUGAGGAAACCCAAACCACAUGGAGAAGUCAUGUGUAGGCAUUCCAAUCUACAAUCCCAGCAGAGUGCCACCUCUGUCCCUCUAGCCUAGAGGCAGGGCAUGCCAUCUUUCUCAGGCUGUGACGGUUCCCAGAAGUAGAUCCGAAAAUUACCAAAGAAGCAUUUUGGUCUGUACUGGUGUAUUAAAAAAUGAUCAUCCUCA